UGAUAAGUGUGAAAUAGUUGAAUGCCUUGGACAAGCUGAAGCAGCUUUGUAAGUGUACUGCUGACAUUUCAUGAGCGCAGACGGAUCCUCAACAUCAGGAGAUGCUGCUGUGACGGUUCACUGAUGCAUGCUAAGAAAACCAGAAACAUGAUGUGGACCUUCAUAUUCCUUUCUAUCCUGUCUCUAAACGUCUGUCAGGUUUGUCACAUUUAACACAGAUGACAUUAUAAAAUUCAAAAUGAUGCCAUCAAAUUGCAUUAAACUAAAUUUCUUUCUUUUCCAGGCUGCUGCACAAGGUAAAGUGAUUUUAAGAUUGUGAAAAUGGGCAUUUCUGUGAAGCCCAGCAUCGUUCUUGAACAGAUGUAGUGUUUUCUGAUGUCCGUUUGUUUUGCAUGUUUCAGAAAACUCGACGCAAAAGUACUAUGUCAAACUGAAAAUAGACAAAAAUGCAAUCGGAAACAUAACCGAGCUACUGAGACCUUUUGUGGACGACACCAACCUGAGCGUCGAUGAUUUGAAAAUGACGACAGAGUGUAAGGAGGACUCGGCAGGUGUAAAGUGUAGCUGCAAACCAAACCACAGGUGGAGUGACGACGUUUGUUGGUCUAACAAGACGUGUUGUGGCGACUCAGAAUGCACCUUCCCAACAAACUCAGAUCAAAUGUGUGUUUCUGUCCAUUCAGUUGCUGUUUCAGGGUCUCUCACUCUGGGACAAAAUCAUUCCAAUUGUCUGAGAGAGAGCACAUCUGAAGAAUACAAGAAAUGUAAUGACACAUUGUUCAUAGAGAUGAAGAGAGUGUACAGCACUAUCAGGGGAUUUGUCACCUUAACAAUCACAGGAUACAGGAUUGGAAGCAUCAUUGCAGAUUUUAAAAUGAACAUUGAUGACCGGGUCUAUUCAAAUGAUCUGAUUGAAACAACCCUAAAGCUGAGCGAAUUCCUGCCGGCGACGCUUAAUUUGGAGACUGCAGGUUUUGUCCGCUUGUACAUGCCGCUGACCCUCGUGUGUUACGAAAAGAGCGUCGUCCUCAGGUGCCAGUCAACGGAGGACCUGAACGUUACGCCAAAGUGGAAUCUGAAAAGACCGGACAGAAUAUUUGACAUAACCUCAGGCACAAUCGCAGAUGUGGCAAUAUUAGGAAAAAGGGAGACCAAUCUCACCAUCAGAGAAGUGUCUGAACUCUGGGAAGGUAUUGGUUUCAGCCGCUGUAUUCACAUUUUAGACCUUUAACCCAACAGAGUGAAGUACAUUCAGGUAAGUCGUGCAUUUAAGCACAAUUCUGACGCACUUGUAUAGUUUAUGCAACUUUCUACUUCGGCUUUUGUAGCGGAACGUUGUACUUUUACUGCAUCUAUCUGACAGCCUUAAUCAAAGCUGAUAGAAACGAAAAGAUGGAAAGAUUCCCAAAAUCCCAGUCAUAUGCUCAUCUCUCCUUAGAAAAAGUAACACAACUGAAUCUUCAAGGAAACGGUCAGUGGUGGAGGUGCAUUGUGGGUGAUGUGGUGGAUGAAGUGGUGGAGUCAUUUAGUUCUGCUGCACUGAUUUUGUAAAACUGCACAUUCUAAGCUUGAUGGCAUUUUACGGAAACUGUGCUAAAUUUGUGAUUUUACACACUAAAUGUACAACUAACGGGUAAAAAAUUAUGCGUUGCUCAAAGUCCAACAACUCAACACAAUAUAAAGGAGGUAAAAUUAGAACCACAAGGAGAAGCUGCAGCUUUAAAGUUUGUUUAUAUGUUAACAGGUGAAAUAAGUCAAUAAUCCAAUAUUAUUAUAGUAUAAUAUCGCUACCAUAAGGAGUAACUUUGUCAAAUUAAUACUUUUACUUUUGACACUUUAGGUGCAUUUUGCUGACCAUCCUUCUGAGCCUUUGCUUAAGUAAAGUGUUGAUUGCACAACCCUUGAAACAAUAUUCAUAAACUGUAGUAUAAAUUUUUUU
ensembl:lncRNA